GGGCAAUGUAGUUCAGUAACAGAACACCUGCUUUGCAUGCAGAAGGCCCCAAGUUCAAUCCUUUGCAUAUCCU